rnacentral:tRNA from 1 species
GCCUCAGUAGCUCAGCUGGAUAGAGCGCCGGUCUUCGAAACCGUAGGUCAAAGGUUCAAAUCCUUUCUGGGGCA